GGGGGCGACAUGGUUUCGACUGGUUGGGUUGAGCGUCGGCUGCAUGCGGAGGAUGACCGUCGGCCUCCUAAAUCACCGGUCAAGCUAGUAACUGCGAACACUGAGCUCGCACUCGCAGCCUAACGGCCGCGACGUUCUCACUCUGACGCCUGAUAAGGGCUGAGAACGACGACAUCAGGCUGGCCGCAAGACCGGGCACCCGGGUGGCGCGGCGAGAACUUCACAGGGGGCUUGGUCCGACCAUUGGCCCGCGCGUCGCCUACGUGGCCGGACGACAACCUAAGCACGCGCUAAGCAUGUAGACGCCGCCGUGGAAUCCUCCCAGGACCCGGGUUCAACUCCCGGCGCCUCCACCA
rnacentral:tmRNA from 1 species